AUUGAAACUAAGACAAGGAUUAGUAAAGAAUGACCUGUUUUUAUAGAGAGAGAAUUGAUUGGUGGAAGAUUCUCAUUAACAGCUUCUUGAACCUACCUUCGAGUUCGUCAUUGAAAAAUGGCGCGGCGACAGUCGUUAACAUGUUUGAGAGUAAAGCUUCGCUUUAAAUAAGGGUGGUACCGCCGUAAUGGGUCCCUUAU
rnacentral:ncRNA from 1 species